GGCGCUUUGGCGGAGUGGUUAUCGCGCUAGCCUAGAAAGCUAGUUCCUUCGGGAGCGCAGGUUCGAGUCCUGCAGGCGUCG
rfam:Phialocephala scopiformis strain CBS 120377 unplaced genomic scaffold LY89scaffold_6, whole genome shotgun sequence.